rnacentral:rRNA from 1 species
GACGAACGCUGGCGGCGUGCUUAACACAUGCAAGUCGAACGGAAAGGCCCUGCUUGCCGGGUACUCGAGUGGCGAACUGGUGAGUAACACAUGGGUGAUCUGCCCUGCACUUCUUGAUAAGCUUUGUAAACUGGGUCUAAUACCUGAUAGGAACCAUCUUUAGUGUGGUGGUUGGAAAGUUUUUUCGGUGUAGGAUGAGCUCGCGGCCUAUCAGCUUGUUGGUGGGGUAAUGGCCUACCAAGGCGGCGACGGGUAGCCGGCAUGAGAGAGUGUACGGCCACAUUGGGACGGAGAUAAGGCCCAGACUCCUAAAGGAGGCAGAAGUGGGGAAUAUUGCACAAUGGGCGAAAGCGUGAUGCAGGGACGCCGCGUGGGGGAUGAAGGCCUUUGGGUUGUAAAAUCAUGUCGCUAGGGACGAAGCGUUGUUGUGACGGUACCUAGAGAAGAAGCACCGGCUAACUACGUG